rnacentral:rRNA from 1 species
AUUGAACACUGGCGGAAUGCUUUACACAUGCAAGUCGAACGGCAGCACGGACUUCGGUCUGGUGGCGAGUGGCGAACGGGUGAGUAAUGUAUCGGAACGUGCCCAGUCGUGGGGGAUAACGUAGUGAAAAUUACGCUAAUACCGCAUACGAUCUAUGGGUGAAAGCGGGGGAUCGCAAGACCUCGCGCUAUUGGAGCGGCCGAUAUCAGAUUAGGUAGUUGGUGGGGUAAAGGCCCACCAAGCCAACGAUCUGUAGCUGGUCUGAGAGGACGACCAGCCACACUGGAACUGAGACACGGUCCAGACUCCUACGGGAGGCAGCAGUGGGGAAUUUUGGACAAUGGGCGAAAGCCUGAUCCAGCCAUUCCGCGUGCAGGAUGAAGGCCCUCGGGUUGUAAACUGCUUUUGUACAGAACGAAAAGGUUUCUACUAAUACUAGGAGCUCAUGACGGUACUGUAAGAAUAAGCACCGGCUAACUACGUGCCAGCCGCCGCCGUAA